rnacentral:rRNA from 1 species
AUACGUAGGGGGCAAGCGUUAUCCGGAUUUACUGGGUGUAAAGGGAGCGUAGACGGUAAAGCAAGUCUGAAGUGAAAGCUCGGGGCUCAACCCCGGAACUGCUUUGGAAACUGUUUUACUGGAGUGCAGGAGAGGUAAGCGGCAUUCCUAGUGUAGCGGUGAAAUGCGUAGAUAUUAGGAGGAACACCAGAGGCGAAGGCGGCUUACUGGACUGUAACUGACGUUGAGGCUCGAAGGCGUGGGGAGCAAACAGGAUUAGAUACCUGGUAGUCCACGCGGUAAACGAUGAUCACUAGGUGUCGGCGGCCAUAGGCGGUCGGUGCCGCAGCCAACGCAAUAAGUGAUCCACCUGGGGAGUACGGUCGCAAGAAUGAAACUUAAAGGAAUUGGCGGGG